GAUGAACGCUGGCGGCGUGCCUAAUACAUGCAAGUCGAGCGAAUGGAUUAAGAGCUUGCUCUUAUGAAGUUAGCGGCGGACGGGUGAGUAACACGUGGGUAACCUGCCCAUAAGACUGGGAUAACUCCGGGAAACCGGGGCUAAUACCGGAUAACAUUUUGAACCGCAUGGUUCGAAAUUGAAAGGCGGCUUCGGCUGUCACUUAUGGAUGGACCCGCGUCGCAUUAGCUAGUUGGUGAGGUAACGGCUAACCAAGGAAACGAUGCGUAGCCGACCUGAGAGGGUGAUCGGCCACACUGGGACUGAGACACGGCCCAGACUCCUACGGGAGGCAGCAGUAGGGAAUCUUCCGCAAUGGACGAAAGUCUGACGGAGCAACGCCGCGUGAGUGAUGAAGGCUUUCGGGUCGUAAAACUCUGUUGUUAGGGAAGAACAAGUGCUAGUUGAAUAAGCUGGCACCUUGACGGUACCUAACCAGAAAGCCACGGCUAACUACGUGCCAGCCGCCGCCGUAA
rnacentral:rRNA from 1 species